GCUGAAAUGUUGCCAGGUACUGGAAACCUCCAGACUAAUAAUAGAUCUGAGAAGGAUGAGCGAGACCGAGGGGAGCGAGGAGGACCACAGAGACUCACAUUUCCUGGAAGCUCGGUGGAAUAUCUUCACUCAAAAGGCUUAGGAAGGCCCCUGAACCCAGCCUAGCUCUGGCUCUGAAGGAUCACACAUCCUAUCGCUGAGCUCCAGGGAGCAGAGCAGGGGGGACAGGGCCAAAGCUGCCUUCUCUCUGCAGGUGCAGCUCUUGACCAGGCGACUGCAAGUUUACAAUGGGAAGAGAAGAAAGAAUAUGAUACCCUUAAGGGGUUCUCAUUCUGCAGAUUUAUUUCGCAAUUCAUGUUUAUUAUCCACAUCUAUGCAAAAUAAACCAUUUUAUUGAUCAAUUUCACUAAAUUGCAACAAGUUUUAUAAGUUCUCUUCAUUGGUUUUUUAAAGUGGCCAUAUUAUUUUUCAACGAGCUCCAGCAAUGACAGGCUUUCAGUAAAUGUGACUGACUGUAUAUCCCUACUGUCACCAGUUGGGUCAUUCCAACCUGAAGUCAAAACCGGAAUCUCCAUCAGAGACAGAGAAGAAAGAAGCAAAACCUUGUUUCUCUGGCUCCAAUUCUACCCACAAUAGCGGAAUCCAGCCCUGCCCUAGCCCACACCCCACUCUGCAAAUACGUCUGGGAACUCCAUGGAGUGUCCUCGGGGUUUCUCCUCCCUGUUCCAUGUGCCACGGCCACGCUCCUGCCCCUGCUCCUUCCAAAGCCCAAGCCAAGCCUGGUGUGGGCUGCUCUGGUCCUUGGCCAGGCUGCCUGCUCCCCGGUGAACUGGGACAGAGGUUUGUGUUGACUCGGCAUGUGGCCGAAUUACCACGUGUGGAAAGUGCAGUAACGAGGAGGUUUAAGGUUCUUUUAUUUCAGUCUCCAUCCUCAGGCUCUGGCACAAGCGCCGAGCACAGGGAGGAUGGGCAGGCGGAUCUAGAACGCAAAAUGCUCCCACAGCCUCCCCUCCCUUUUCACACUGAGCCGUGUUCCUCAGACCAAAUUUGUGUUCUCCCAUCCUCUCUUCCCUUCAAUUCUUUCCAAGAGACUCCUAGUCAUUUCCACAAAUGGCCCCCAGAAGGGCGCCACCCCAUACGGGGGCACAAUAACCAGUAACACUUGCCUCCAGGCAAAGCCUCCUCCUCCUGCACUCCUGUGUGUAAACGUUCCGAUUCUCUCUCCUGCCAGCAGAGGGAAAGGGUCUGGAUAGAGAUUCUUGGGGAUGGGAGCAGGGUAAUGCCCAGAGAAAGAGGGCCUCCCUCAAUCUUCUCCUUCCAGAGAAAGUCAGCCCCCACUUGGCAACCACCCACCACCACCCCUAGCAGAGACAAGGCACAAAAGUUUCUGUCAGAAGCCUUUCACUCUAAACAUUGCCCUUGCACAGUUCACAGGACCCAGAAACACACUGUCACUUUAAGUUAAACACUACAUUUAUACCCAAAAAGCAGAAAAACCUUGUGUAAAUUCUUGAUUCAACUCAAGUCUUUUUUGGAAAUCAGUCUCUUUUCUGACAUUAGACAUUCUGUAGAAUUCAC
ensembl:lncRNA